rnacentral:rRNA from 1 species
UACUCCUACGGGAGGCAGCAGUGGGGAAUAUUGCACAAUGGGCGCAAGCCUGAUGCAGCGACGCCGCGUGAGGGAUGGAGGCCUUCGGGUUGUAAACCUCUUUCGCCAGUGAAGCAGGCCUGCUCCUUGUGGGUGGGUUGACGGUAGCUGGAUAAGAAGCGCCGGCUAACUACGUGCCAGCAGCCGCGGUAAUACGUAGGGCGCGAGCGUUGUCCGGAAUUAUUAGGCGUAAAGAGCUCGUAGGCGGCUGGUCGCGUCUGUCGUGAAAUCCUCUGGCUUAACUGGGGGCUUGCGGUGGGUACGGGCCGGCUUGAGUGCGGUAGGGGAGACUGGAACUCCUGGUGUAGCGGUGGAAUGCGCAGAUAUCAGGAAGAACACCGGUGGCGAAGGCGGGUCUCUGGGCCGUUACUGACGCUGAGGAGCGAAAGCGUGGGGAGCGAACAGGAUUAGAUACCCUGGUAGUCCACGCCGUAAACGUUGGGCACUAGGUGUGGGGGGCCUUUUCCGGGUCUUCCGCGCCGUAGCUAACGCAUUAAGUGCCCCGCCUGGGGAGUACGGCCGCAAGGCUAAAACUCAAAGGAAUUGACGGA